GAUAGGCUGUGGUAGCAUAGGUUUUAAAGUAUUUUAACACAUAAAAAUAUAUAAUGCAAGCAAACCUUAGCUACCCAGAGCUCUCUGGAAGAUUAUAUAUGGCUUCAUUUGUUCAUUCCUUCAGUACUGCUUUAUUGAUCACCUACCUUGUGAAAGUUUAUCCACUGAAGACAAUCUUGAGAAGAGAGAACUAUCGUCUCUGCAGAAGUCAGUCCGGUGACAGAGACAAAACAAAGGCCACACAGGGUGGUUACACUAAACACUUAUCUAUGAAAAGGAUAGAUGAAAUCCCUGCCUUUGUGGAGCUUACAAUCCGGUGAUAUCUCAACUUCGUUUUAUAAAAAUGGAUCAGAUAACCCAAGAAACCAUUUGAAGAAAAUGAUACGCUACUGAAUCUCUUCUUACUGAGAUUCAUUCUUUCAACAGUGAUUUGAUUGGUUUCUACAUGUCAGAUAAAAUUCCUAGCCACUGAGGAUGCAGACUUACAAGGUAUGGUCCUACCUCAAAGCACAUAUUGACUCGGGAGGGAAAUUCUAAUCAAAGCAUUCUAAAGCAGAACUCAUACCGUAUUUCUUGCUCGUAUUCAAUAAUGCAAUACAGGUAUAUAAUAAAAAUGGUCAAAGAGAAAAAUUAAUAACAGACAUCGUACUUUGAUUUUAAGGUUUUCCUUACCUACAAGACCGAAUAUUAACCAUAAAAAUUCCUGACUCAAAAUUAAUCCUGCUAAAUCACUCAAAGUUGCUAAUAUUUUCAUUCCUCUUCUAAACCAGGUUUACUUAAUUUUAAAUUUCAAAAGGUAUCAUGACUGCAGGUGGGUGG